GACGAACGCUGGCGGCGUGCCUAAUACAUGCAAGUUGAGCGCUGACGGUCGGUACUUGUACCAACUGGAUGAGCAGCGAACGGGUGAGUAACGCGUGGGGAAUCUGCCUUUGAGCGGGGGACAACAUUUGGAAACGAAUGCUAAUACCGCAUAAAAACUUUAAACACAAGCUUUAAGUUUGAAAGAUGCUAUUGCAUCACUCAAAGAUGAUCCCGCGUUGUAUUAGCUAGUUGGUGAGGUAAAGGCUCACCAAGGCGAUGAUACAUAGCCGGCCUGGGGGGGUGAACCGCCACCAUGGGACUGGGACACGGCCCAAACUUCUUCGGGAGGCAGGAGUAGGGGAACUUCGGCCAUUGGGGGAAGGCUGACCGAGGAACGCCCGGGGGGAGGAGGAGGGUUUCGGGUCGUAAAACUCUGUUGGUAGGGAAGAAAGUUGGUGAGAGUGGAAAGCGCAUCAAGUGACGGUAACGACACAGAAAGGAACGGCUAACUACGUG
rnacentral:rRNA from 1 species